GCUGCUCUCCCCUCUUCUUUCUUCUGCCUGUUAAACUUUCUGCUCCUUAACUCACCCGUAUGUAUCCAUGUCGUGAAUCUUCUCAACGUGAGAUGAUGAACCCAGGAUUUUUACCCCAGAUGGUGCUGCUUCACCAGCACUGCACUCUACUUCCUCCCUUCCUGAUCCCGCCUCAGCUGCUCCUCUCCUCAGAGAAGAAAAAAUUCUGCCUAAAGCAGCAGCAUCAUUUCCUGCCCGAGUUCCAGCUUCUCCUACGGAUGUUGGACUUGCCAGCCCCACAGUCAUGACCAGUGAGAGGCAGCAAUUUUGGGCAAUAUGUCUGAUUUGGAAAUGCCAAGUUUACUCUCAUGGGCUCCCCCAAAAACCAGGUGGGAGAAGGUACAAGCAGAGAAGUGCAAGCCCGUUAGCACGAAGGCUUCGACCACAUCCAGCCAUCUCCUUCUGAUCAGCAGUAAAGCUGAUGUUUUGAUCUCCACCUGCCUGAUUCUUGUGCCUACUCAGUUGGUUUACAACAUCAGUGGGAAAGGAUGAGUUUUAUUUACAGACCCUUAAAAAUCCCACCAGAGUGUCCCCUGCUGAGUGGUCACGUGAGCCCAUCUGGAAAAAACAGUCAUGAUGGCAGCGUGGCAGUGGAAAGAUUCGUCUUGUGCUCAGGCCUUGCGGUCAUGCAAGUUUCUUGUGGAUCCUGCUGGGACUGGUGGCUCACUAAGGCUGAGUAGGUCCCCAGAGGACAAGGACUCUUUGCCAGACUCACAGAGAACUGCUGGGUCUUUGGGAAGGGUGUGGGUGUCUUUGGGGCAUGGAAGUUGGGAUUAUAGUGGAGACCCAGAGGAUCAGAAAACCUCUCUGCCUCAGCAGAAGAGUGGCGGCUGAGAGAGAGGCAAGAAACUCACAGCCACUGUGCCCUGGAGCAGGGAGAGUUUGAAGAGAGUGAAACCUAGAAAUGCUGUGGUAUCCGUUUGUAUCUAGAGGAAAACCCUCUUCUCAAGGAAUGCCUGUUAUCAAUUUUCUACAUCAUUAAGGAUAUAAGGUCCUUGGCAUU